UCCGAAGGGUGCAAGCGUUACUCGGAAUUACUGGGCGUAAAGCGUGCGUAGGUGGUUUGUUAAGUCUGUUGUGAAAGCCCCGGGCUCAACCUGGGAAUGGCAAUGGAUACUGGCAAGCUAGAGUGCGGUAGAGGGUAGUGGAAUUCCCGGUGUAGCGGUGAAAUGCGGAGAGAUCGGGAGGAACACCAGUGGCGAAGGCGGCUACCUGGGACGUUACUGACGCUGAGACGCGAAAGCGUGGGGAGCAAACAGG
rnacentral:rRNA from 1 species